GUGUCAGCAGCCGCGGUAAUACGUAGGUGGCAAGCGUUAUCCGGAAUUAUUGGGCGUAAAGCGCGCGCAGGUGGUUUCUUAAGUCUGAUGGGAAAGCCCACGGCUCAACCGUGGAGGGUCAUUGGAAACUGGGAGACUUGAGUGCAGAAGAGGAAAGUGGAAUUCCAUGUGUAGCGGUGAAAUGCGUAGAGAUAUGGAGGAACACCAGUGGCGAAGGCGACUUUCUGGUCUGUAACUGACACUGAGGCGCGAAAGCGUGGGGAGCAAACAGGAUUAGAAACCCCAGUAGUCC
rnacentral:rRNA from 1 species